UACGUAGGGUGCAAGCGUUGUCCGGAAUUAUUGGGCGUAAAGAGCUCGUAGGCGGUUUGUCGCGUCGAAUGUGAAAACCCGGGGCUCAACCCCGGGCCUGCAUUCGAUACGGGCAGACUAGAGUUCGGUAGGGGAGUCUGGAAUUCCUGGUGUAGCGGUGAAAUGCGCAGAUAUCAGGAGGAACACCGGUGGCGAAGGCGGCAUCCUGGACCGGCAUUGACGCUGAGGCGCGAAAGCCAGGGGAGCAAACAGG
rnacentral:rRNA from 1 species